CUAAAGUCCUCUCUUUAUCUGCAGGAAAGGCAGAAGCAGUGCAGACAUCCUCUAGACUCACUCACCAACACCAGCCAACGUGCCUCAACUCUGCCCUAGAGAGACAACCUUAAGGACAGAGAGAGUAGAUUUUCUCCAGGCCCAUUCAAUCCUUAGCCUCUUUCGUGAGUCUGUUAACAAAGUUCCAGUUAGUGCUGGUUCUGAUGCUGUAUUUUGUCAUGUGGUCCCCUGAAAAUCUGUGCACAUCUGGAUCCAAUCAAGAACUGGACUGAGACCACCAAAUUCAUUUCACACAGGAAUCCGGACCUGGAUUUGGAUUUCAAUCCCAAGCCAUGAAAAUGCUGUCAGAAGAAACUGAUGCACUCUCCUGAGGAGAAGAAUGCUGCUCUGGGGAGAAUUUUUCUUGAACUUGGCUUUGAAUUCUCUUCAAAUGGAAAUUUCCCUUUUUGAA